AUGUGGAGGCUAUAUACAGGGGGUACCGGUACAGAGUCAAUGUGGAGGCUGUAUACAGGGGGUACCAGUACAGAGUCAAUGUGGAGGCUAUAUACAGGGGGCACCGGUACAGAGUCAAUGUGGAGGCUAUAUACAGGGGGUACCGGUACAGAGUCAAUGUGGAGGCUGUAUACAGGGGGUACCAGUACAGAGUCAAUGUGGAGGCUAUAUACAGGGGGCACCGGUACAGAGUCAAUGUGGAGGCUAUAUACAGGGGGUACCAGUACAGAGUCAAUGUGGAGGCUAAAUACAGGGGGUACAUGUACAGAGUCAUUGUGGAGGCUAUAUACAUGGGGUACCGGUACAGAGUCAUUGUGGAGGCUAUAUACAGGGGGUACCGGUACAGAGUCAAUGUGGAGGCUGUAUACAGGGGGUACCGGUACAGAGUCAAUGUGGAGGCUAUAUACAGGGGGUACCGGUAGCGAGUCAAUGUGGAGGCUAUAUACAGGGGGUACCGGUACAGAGUCAUUGUGGAGGCUAUAUACAGGGGGUACCGGUACAGAGUCAAUGUGGAGGCUGUAUACAGGGGGUACCGGUACAGAGUCAAUGUGGAGGCUAUAUACAGGGGGUACCGGUACAGAGUCAAUGUGGAAGCUAUAUACAGGGGGUACCGGUACAGAGUCAAUGUGGAGGCUAUAUACAGGGGGUACCGGUACAGAGUCAAUGUGGAGGCUAUAUUCAGGGGGUACCGGUACAGAGUCAUUGUGGAGGCUAUAUACAUGGGGUACCGGUACAGAGUCAUUGUGGAGGCUAUAUACAGGGGGUACCGGUACAGAGUCAAUGUGGAGGCUGUAUACAGGGGGUACCGGUACAGAGUCAAUGUGGAGGCUAUAUACAGGGGGUACCGGUAGCGAGUCAAUGUGGAGGCUAUAUACAGGGGGUACCGGUACAGAGUCAUUGUGGAGGCUAUAUACAGGGGGUACCGGUACAGAGUCAAUGUGGAGGCUGUAUACAGGGGGUACCGGUACAGAGUCAAUGUGGAGGCUAUAUUCAGGGGGUACCGGUACAGAGUCAAUGUGGAGGCUAUAUACAGGGGGUACCGGUAGCGAGUCAAUGUGGAGGCUAUAUACAGGGGGUACCGGUACAGAGUCAAUGUGGAGGCUAUAUUCAGGGGGUACCGGUACAGAGUCAAUGUGGAGGCUAUAUACAGGGGGUACCGGUAGCGAGUCAAUGUGGAGACUAUAUACAGGGGGUACCGGUACAGAGUCAAUGUGGAGACUAUAUACAGGGGUACCGGUAGAGAUAGUUAUGUCGCCAUGUAGCCAUUUGACUAGAUGUUCAGGAGUCUUAUGGCUUGGGACCAUGUUAGUUUGUUGGUGA
rnacentral:lncRNA from 1 species